rnacentral:rRNA from 1 species
CAAGUCGAACGAGAAAGUGGAGCAAUCCAUGAGUACAGUGGCGUACGGGUGAGUAACACGUGGGUAAUCUACCUUUUAGUGUGGAAUAACCCUGGGAAACCGGGGCUAAUACCGCAUAAGCUCGAGAGAGGAAAGUCGCAAGACGCUGAAAGAGGAGCCCGCGGCCGAUUAGCUAGUUGGCAGGGUAAGAGCCUACCAAGGCAGAGAUCGGUAGCCGGCCUGAGAGGGCACACGGCCACACUGGCACUGAAACACGGGCCAGACUCCUACGGGAGGCAGCAGUGGGGAAUCUUGCACAAUGGGGGCAACCCUGAUGCAGCGACGCCGCGUGAGCGAUGAAGCCCUUCGGGGUGUAAAGCUCUUUCGGCAGGGAAGAUAAUGACGGUACCUGCAGAAGCAGCUGCGGCUAACUACGUGCCAGCAGUCGCGGUAAUACGUAGGCAGCGAGCGUUGUUCGGAGUUACUGGGCGUAAAGGGUGUGUAGGCGGUUGUUUAAGUUUGGUGUGAAAUCUCCCGGCUCAACUGGGAGGGUGCGCCGAAUACUGAAUGACUAGAGUGCGGGAGAGGAAAGUGGAAUUCCUGGUGUAGCGGUGAAAUGCGUAGAUAUCAGGAGGAACACCGGUGGUGUAGACGGCUUUCUGGACCGUAACUGACGCUGAGACACGAAAGCGUGGGUAGCAAACAGGAUUAGAUACCCUGGUAGUCCACGCCCUAAACGAUGCAUAUUUGGUGUGGGCAGUUCAUUCUGUCCGUGCCGGAGCUAACGCGUUAAAUAUGCCGCCUGGGGAGUACAGUCGCAAGGCUGAAACUCAAAGGAAUUGACGGGGGCCCGCACAAGCGGUGGAGCAUGUGGUUCA